rnacentral:lncRNA from 1 species
UAAUGAUGUUGGAAGUUAUGCCCUUCUGAGGAUAGGAAGCAUCAUGAUAGCACUAAUCUUUCAUGCUGCAGAAGAUUUUCUUGUGAGAUUGCUUCACCAGCAUUCAAACAAGGUAUAUCACAAGCUAGUUCACCCUGAAUAUUAAUAUCGAAAGAAAAUAGAGAGGAAAAAGCCUAGGAUACACCAAAAAAAGAACAGAGAAAACCUUCACAAAACAUGAAGAAUAACAGAAUAGGAUGCACAUAAUGCAUUUGGGAGAUUUCAAUCUCAGACUCCAUAGCAUCAAAAGAAAUGUGCCUCUUUUAAAAUAAAUGCAACAUAUUAGAAGGAGAGAGAUGAAUACUAGAAUUUAAGCACAGUUAAAAGACGUUUAUUACAGACAGUUAUCUAAUCUGGAAAAGAAUUAAGCAAUAUUUCUAGACAAACUUAAUUGAAUCCAGGAGGUAAUAACACUUGAAGUUCUUUGACUUGAAAAUCAAGUUGGGCAUUAGCAAUUGUUUGAAAUCACAAAGGACUAUGUUUUAAGUGGAGUGCAAUGGUGGCGUUUUUAAAUGCAUGCAUGUAAGUAGCUGGUAUAGACGUUGCUUCAUAUUUUUCAGGUGAUUAGAUUCUGUUGCUUCAACAAGUCUGAGGGAGGUGUGUUCAAGAAAACUGAUGCAGACUUCAUUACUGGAAGCAAGUGUUGAUCAAGUGAUACAGCAGACAGACAACAUUUCACUUGCAGAAUUGCAGUACAACAAAGAAGCUACAUCUUUCUGGUUAUUUUCAACAUUUCUUUUCUAAACAGAUGACUGGCAGAUGAUUUCUGCCUACUCUAUCUACAUCAAGCAGAGAAGUGUGGACACUGUUGAGAAUCCGCUGAUCUAAGCUCUGCAGAGCUCAUGCAGCUCUAUACAUUUAAUACAUUACUUGAUGCUGUCAGUGUAAUGACUCCCAUCACAUUUGCUCACCACUGGCUUGAUCACUAGCUUUAGCCUCAGGAAAAUUUAUUUUGGGAUUCCUUUUCUCUUCACUGCCAAUGGCCGUGACUGUAUUGCUACUGGUGUCUGGAGAAGCACAAGGAAAUGCCACCUGUAAAGAUCUAUGGAGGUCAUAUAAUAUAAUCCUAAAAGCCAUCUAAGGAGUAGAGGAUAGCAGCUAUACUGUCCAGAGGGCAGUACUGAUAUCUGGUUUGUAUAUUAAGCUAGAAGAUUCUUCCUGGAAAAGAACUGUAUAAGGAGAAAGGGAACUGAAAUAUAGCCAUGGAGCAAAGUCUGAACAAAUCUAAUGAGAACUGCAAUUGCAUCCUUGGUGAGCAAGGUGGGUUACAGGUACUUGCUUCUCCUAAUGAAGAGGGAAUGCAAGAAGAUGGAGGUGAAAAUAUCAGCAUGCCCAAGUACAGUAUCUACUGUUACACUGAUAAUAGCCACAGACAAUAAUUUUAACAUUCAGUACAUUCCCUCUUGGUAUUAGUUGAAAUAUAGUCAUUAAAGCAAAAUAUUUGUAUUUUAGCCUUACAGUUUAUGGCAUUUAUUUGCCUAGUGAAUAUUCUGAUUUUGUUGCAAUUAUAGCAUUUACAACCUGCUUUUCAGAAGAAGAAAGGAUUUCAAAUGUUUCUGAUAAUAAACAGAUUUGGAGCAUCAGCAUUUUUAGCUGGGCCUAUAUUACAGAGCUUGCAAUAGGGAUGCAACUACUCUCUCCUGCUAAUACUAUUUUGAAACACAUCUACUGUCAUUCUUUCUAAGUAACUAUUGUCAACUGUCAAACUCACCUGAACUGUAGUUCAUAGAAUCACAGAAUCAUAGAAUCAUAGAAUGGCCCAGGUAGAAAAGGACCAUACUGAUCAUCUAGUUUCAACCCCACUGCUGUGUGCAGAGUCACCAACCACUAGACCAGGCUGCCCAGAGCUACAUCCAGCCUGGCCCUAAAUGCCUCCGGGGAUGGGGCAUCCACAACAUCUCUGG